rnacentral:rRNA from 1 species
AACGUAGGUGGCAAGCGUUAUCCGGAUUUACUGGGCGUAAAGCGUGUGCAGGCGGUUUAGUAAGUGGUGUAUGAAAUCUCCGCGCUUAACGUGGAGGGGUUAUGCCAGACUGCUGAACUAGAACCCAUCAGAGGGACGUGGAAUUCCGGGUGUAGUGGUGAAAUGCGUAGAUAUCAGGAGGAACACCGGUGGUGUAGACGGCUUUCUGGACCGUAACUGACGCUGAGACACGAAAGCGUGGGUAGCAAACAGG